AACGAACGCUGGCGGCAUGCCUAACACAUGCAAGUCGAACGAGACCUUCGGGUCUAGUGGCGCACGGGUGCGUAACGCGUGGGAAUCUGCCCUUGGGUUCGGAAUAACAGUUAGAAAUGACUGCUAAUACCGGAUAAUGUCUUCGGACCAAAGAUUUAUCGCCCAGGGAUGAGCCCCGCGUAGGAUUAGCUAGUUGGUGAGGUAAAGGCUCACCAAGGCGACGAUCCUUAGCUGGUCUGAGAGGAUGAUCAGCCACACUGGGACUGAGACACGGCCCAGACUCCUACGGGAGGCAGCAGUGGGGAAUAUUGGACAAUGGGCGAAAGCCUGAUCCAGCAAUGCCGCGUGAGUGAUGAAGGCCUUAGGGUUGUAAAGCUCUUUUACCCGGGAUGAUAAUGACAGUACCGGGAGAAUAAGCCCCGGCUAACUCCGUGCCAGCAGCCGCGGU
rnacentral:rRNA from 1 species